CUUUCCCCCUUCCAGACUCAUCUUCCUCUUUUUCUCCAACAAUAGGAUUUGUCCUUACCAAAUCCAUCCACCUCAUGUGAUUAAUCUCACAAAAUCAUAGAAGUAUAUUCGAUUAAGGCUUUGGAAGUGACGGAGAGCCUGCUCCUUAUUCUAUGGUAUAUGGUAGAUUUUUUUCUCUUAUUUUUUUAUAAUUACAAUGCAUGCAUUUCCCCCAAAUAUAUGCAUGCACAUUUUGUCAUU
rnacentral:lncRNA from 1 species